rnacentral:rRNA from 1 species
GGGGAAUUUUGGACAAUGGGCGAAAGCCUGAUCCAGCCAUGCCGCGUGUAUGAAGAAGGCCUUCGGGUUGUAAAGUACUUUUGUUAGGGAAGAAAAGCUUAUUGCUAAUAUCAGUGAGCCAUGACGGUACCUAAAGAAUAAGCACCGGCUAACUACGUGCCAGCAGCCGCGGUAAUACGUAGGGUGCAAGCGUUAACCGGAAUUACUGGGCGUAAAGCGAGCGCAGGCGGUUAUCUAAGUCAGGUGUGAAAGCCCCGAGCUCAACUUGGGACGUGCAUUUGAAACUGGGUAACUAGAGUGUGUCAGAGGGGGGUAGAAUUCCACGUGUAGCAGUGAAAUGCGUAGAGAUGUGGAGGAAUACCGAUGGCGAAGGCAGCCCCCCUGGGAUAACACUGACGCUCAUGCUCGAAAGCGUGGGUAGCAAAC